AUGGGUUAAAGGGAUAAGGACCACUGAAAUACUUACCCUAGCACACAUUCAAUGUGCAUGGCCCAUUUGAUGAGUCAAACUAGGAGGUUAUCACUAUUUCAUCACCUUUAUCGAUGAACAGUCAUGGUCUAGGUAUAUGUAUGUAAGAUACAAAUCUGAAAGACUUUGAAAGGUUCAAAGAAUUAAGAUGUGAAGUAAAAAAGUAAAUCAAAAAAAUUCUAAAGGUACUUCAAUU
rnacentral:lncRNA from 1 species